rnacentral:rRNA from 1 species
GACGAACGCUGGCGGCGUGCCUAAUACAUGCAAGUUGAGCGCUGAAGGUUGGUACUUGUACCCACUGGAUGAGCAGCGGACGGGUGAGUAACGCGUGGGGAAUCUGCCUUUGAGCGGGGGACAACAUUUGGAAACGAAUGCUAAUACCGCAUAAAAACUUUAAACGCAAGUUUUAAGUUUGAAAGAUGCAAUUGCAUCACUCAAAGAUGAUCCCGCGUUGUAUUAGCUAGUUGGUGAGGUAAAGGCUCACCAAGGCGAUGAUACAUAGCCGACCUGAGAGGGUGAUCGGCCACAUUGGGACUGAGACACGGCCCAAACUCCUACGGGAGGCAGCAGUAGGGAAUCUUCGGCAAUGGACGAAAGUCUGACCGAGCAACGCCGCGUGAGUGAAGAAGGUUUUCGGAUCGUAAAACUCUGUUGGUAGAGAAGAACGUUGGUGAGAGUGGAAAGCUCAUCAAGUGACGGUAACUACCCAGAAAGGGACGGCUAACUACGUG